GUGGGGAAGGGAGGGAGAUGGGAAUGGGAAAGACAGUAGAAUGAACUGGACACAACUUUCCUGAGUUCACUUAUGAAUACACGACCAGUGGAAUUCCACAUCACGGACAACCACAAGGAUGGGCAGCUAGCCAGGCGUGGUGGCCCACGCCUGUAAUCCCAGUAGCUCGGGAGGCUGAGGCAGGAGGAUCACAAGUUCAAAGCCAGUCUCAGCAGAAACCAGGUGCUGAGCAACUCAGUGAGGCCCCAUCUCUAAAUAAAAUACACAAUAGGGCUGGGGGUGGCUCAGUGGCCGAGGGCCCCCUAGUUCAAUCCCCAGGACCCACAUCCCCAAAGAACGGGAAGUUAUACUCCAUGUAUGUAAAAUAUGCCCAACUACACUCUACCGACCUGUAUAACUAAAAGGAACAAAUAAAAGACACCUGUUCCUUAUUUCCCAUUUUUUCUCCCAUUAUGGCCCGUGGUCCUCCUGUCCCCCUCCUCUUGAUGCCUUCGGCUGUGGCCGCCUUAGUGGCCUUAGUGUCCAGGUUCCUGUUCUACCCCAGAUGUCAGGCUGCUGAUUUCUAACUGAACUCCUUCGAGACAGAGGAUGUAGCCUGCCUGGCCCGCCCAGCUGUGAAUGGCGGUUUGUCCCAGCAGGCCUGUCUGGGCGAGUUUCACGUGGAUGCGAGAAGAACAGUGUCCUACAGGAGCCGGGGAGUAGUCCCCCACGCCCCUCGGGUCGAGGUGCUGUUCAGGUCCUGGGUCUGCGUCUUUGCCAACUGGUUCUGGGACUACUGAGGGUGGGCUUUACCUCCUGCAGUGAUGGCUGGGGACUUCGCUGGUCUCCUUUUUUUAAUCACGAAGCUAGGCUCACGGUACUUUGAAGCUGUUUUGAGGGGCGCGUCUCCCUGUUUUCCUAGUUCUCGUGGACAGGGGUUGAGUGUGCCUUGUCCACACUGCGUGGGAUCAGAAGGCUGGAUCCCUGACUUUUUCAGGUUUUGCAUCCUGAGACGUCGUCUGCACACACACUCCCACCUCUGAGUCCCAUCUGCUCUAUCCUUGGCGCCUCCUGCUCCUUCCCCUUCUAGAUAACUGCUUUCAUUCUUCCAGAGUUUCUUUAUGUUUGUUACAUAAGGUGCAAACCUAUACUGUUGAAUACAUGUGCUAAUACGUCUCUGAAAGCAAUGUGAGCGUGCAACAUAAGCUCUUUUGCAGUUUGACUUUGCCAUCAGCCAUGGGUCUCCGGGUUCCUCUCUGUCAGUGCACCAGCAGCCUCUGAGUCUUUAUGACAGCAACAUAGUAUUCCACCAUGGCUGAUUUGGCCAAGCCCCAGUGCUGGACCUUAGGCUGGUCACACAUAUUGGCUGUGACACACAGCGCCCCCUCCCCUUUGCCCACUCCCCAAGCACAGCCCAGGAACAAGCGAGAAGGGAGGCCUGCUCUGUUUCAGGUAAUAAGAAGAAACAGUAAAAAACGCCACUUCCUGUUUUCCCCCUUUUAUAUCACAUGUCUUGCCUCUGGGGGGCUUAGUGCUCCAUGCUCGGUGCUCGGUGCUCGGUGCUCAGCGCUUAGUGCUCCCACACGGCUGCACACAGUAACCCCAGGGGAAUGCACGUGAGGAGCCCUUGCACACGAAGGCUUGGGCAGUGGGCUUCAGUGGUGGCUGCUGCUGGGCGGCUCCGCAGGCUGGUGACAGGAGCCAGGGCACCUGGGCUGGCGGACCCUGCUCUGCUGCCCACGGGCCGCACAGCUUCGUGAUCGAAGCACUUCCAGGAAGGCGCUCAUCUAGGGCCAGCUGCUCCUGAAAGCGUUUUCUUAACGUGAAGUUGGUCCCGGCAUUUCCCCCAGUGCGUUUCUGAGGCACAGAGAGGUUAAGGGACUGCCCCAGCUCACACACUUCAGUGGUGCUGGUCUUCAGUCCCAGCCACCUGGCCCCAGGCGGCACGGAGGCGUCAAGCAUGCAGACAAGGACCUGGCACAGAGUAGGUGCUCACUGAAUGCGGGUUCCUGUCCUCAGGACUUGUUGAGGAGGUGGGGUACAGCUAGCCCAGCCCAGGUGGACAGGAGGGGGAGCCUAGAAGUACCACGUUUGAGGAGGUCCCUGGGAGAGAAGGGGCGGGGAGGGGCCAAGCCCGAGGAGCUCUGGGAUGGGCCCGUGAGGACUCUGUGGACGUUCAGUGCCGAGGAUUCCGAGUCCCCCGGCUUCUCUUUGCAGCAGACAGAGAAGCACAGAAGUUACAAGCUUUUUUUUUUUUUUUUUGGCAGAGGAAAAAACACAAACCGCCCAACCACAAAAUUCUCAAGAAUAUUGCUAAGCACUAAUUUUGCUAACAUGUUAGACGGCCUCAGAUCUAGGCAAUCUUGUUCCUUGGCUGGAAACGGUUCCCGAGAGCCACGUGAUCUCAGAUCCACCCUGGGCCUGUGGGGAUGAUGAGAGAAUCAGCUCUGGCCUUCCCUGCCUUCCACCCCAUGCUCCCGCCCCGGCCCACCCAGUGGGUGCCCCAGCCCUGCCCUCCCACACUCCACCCAGACCUGGACUUCACGCUCCUCCCGGAUCCUCAGACCCGCCCACGGCUCAGGUCAGCCACGGCUCAGAAGCCAGUCGCCGGGAGGAGUUGGAGGCUCCCCGUUGGCCCAGACUCUCCAUGGCUCAAGGUCAGCGUCUUGACCCCAGGGGGCAAAUAACGAGGCAAAUAGGAUAACUUCACUGCUAAGAAGUUAAUGAAUCACAAAUGCUAUUGCAAUGGUUUUCUUUGAAAGGAAUACACAUAACCAAACCGAUUUUAAUUAAAGAUCUUGUCUUUGUAAUCAGGCAGCCUCAAGUGGAGGCGAGGCCGCUUUUCAUGUGGCACAAUACACACAGAGCCAAUGAGCUUGCCCAUAAAAGGGCAGGUUUUUUUUUCUUUUUCCAAAUAAGAAAAUAGUUUUUUCCCAACAAUACGGGGGUGCGACUCUAUGCUCUGCAAAGUAUAAACUGGGGACCCUCCCAAGGAAGCCGGUCGUCGACGUGAAGCAAUCCCUACAGCGGCCAAUCUGCGGGCCAGCUAGGGCGUCCCCCAUGAGAUCAGACACGUGGUGCUGAUUUUUAAGUGAAAGGCGCUGCUGAAAACCAACCGUACCUGCGGGGACGUGCGCAGCCCCGUGGCUGGAAGUGACUGUGACGCGCCGCGGUGUUUCUGGGGAAGGAUCAACCUGAACGACAAAGCAGUGUUGAGUUUUCAGUGUUGACACCACACAGGACCAAAGUCCCCCCCAGGACAUCCUGUGGGGCAGCGGGGAUCGCUGUGCUCGGUCACACCGACCCAGGAGAGGAAGGCGCGUCCUGCAGGUGCGCCCACCCUGUGGCGCUGGCCAGGUCUUUGGACGUGGCUGGCUACCCUCUAUUUGGGGUCUUCUUGGCACCCCCAGGGCAGGGAGCCCAAAGGGUGCUGUAGUGGGUGAACCCGAGGUGGCCAGGGCUGCAGGAUCCUGUCCACUCUCAGGAGCUUUCCAAAGCAUCUUCUGUGACGGGUCUCUCAGGGGAACGCUGAACUUUGUCAUCUGAGAACCAGAGCCCACGCCGGGAAAAGAGGAGACCAGGAGAGUCCCAGAGGCCAGUCUGUCCUGUUCUGCUGAAUGACAGACUCUUGCUUCGGGGGCAGCAGGACACACUCCAGAGACUCCCAUCUCUAGGUGGGACAUGAUGUGUCCUUGAGGGGGGCUCAGGUUUGGGUAUGAGCCUAGAAGAAUCAGCUCCCAGUGCCCUUCUGUUCCCAGAGGGCAGGAGACCAGCCUGGUGGUGACAUCCUCCCUGCACCAUCUGCCCCAUGUCUUACGUUCUAAAUGCAUUUUUAGAGUUUUGGUACCAGGAUUGAACCCUGGGAUGUUUAACCCCUGAGCCAUAUCCCUUUUUUUUUUUUAAUUUUGAGACAGGUUCUCACUGAGUUGCUUAAGGCUUUGCUAAGUUGCUGAAGCUGGCUUUGAACUUGUGAUCCUCCUGCCUCACCCUCCCAUGCUGCUGGGAUCACAGGCUGCCCCCCGCACCUGGCCAUCUGCAUGCACUUUAUUGAGCAGCAUGUGUUGGAGGGCUCACAGGGCCAGCCCUCCCUGGCUGUGAGAUCAGUGCCUUGGUCACACCAAGCUCCAAGACCUGCUGUCACGGUGAUUCUCUGGCAAUCCGUGGAGCUGUUUCCAAUUCCUGCAUAGUGGGUAGGAGCUCUGGUUUGGGCAUCAGAGUGACCUGGAUUCCUCCUCCAACAUGAGCUGUGGACAGUUUUCCCAUCUGUGACACAGAGGCAGUGGUGUCAGAUGCCCCGUGGUCUUGAACGUGAGAUGAACUUCUAACUGCAAAACCCUAAGCCUGCUGCAGGCCUCGGCUCCUCUGUGCUAAGAUCACCCCAGCGGAAGGCACUUGAAUAUUUGCACACUAAAUCACUUCCCGGUUUAUGAACAGUUUUAAAUGCUACCAGCUUGAAACCCAGAACUUCUGCCUGACCCAGCAAUUCCGCUCCGAGGAAUCUACCCAAGAAAACUCAAAAUGCCUGUCACCUGCACUCACGGCAGCUCUACCCACGGCACCCUCAGGGGGAAACAACCACACACCCACGGUGCCCGUGUUCGUCCACUGGUGACGGGGACAGGACGUGGC
rnacentral:lncRNA from 1 species